rnacentral:rRNA from 1 species
GAUUAACGCUAGCGGCAGGCCUAAUACAUGCAAGUCGAGGGGUAACAGGGUAGCAAUACCGCUGACGACCGGCGCACGGGUGAGUAACACGUAUGCAACCUACCUAUAACUGGGGAAUAGCCUUCCGAAAGGAAGAUUAACACCGCAUAACAUCACGAAACGGCAUCGUUUUGUGAUCAAACCUCCGGGGGUUAUAGAUGGGCAUGCGUAACAUUAGCUAGUUGGUGAGGUAACGGCCACCAAGGCGACGAUGUUUAGGGGGUCUGAGAGGAUGAUCCCCCACACUGGUACUGAGACACGGACCAGACUCCUACGGGAGGCAGCAGUAAGGAAUAUUGGACAAUGGGGGCAACCCUGAUCCAGCCAUGCCGCGUGAAGGAUGAAGGCGCUCUGCGUCGUAAACUUUCUUUUACUCGAGAAAAAUUGUUGGGUUUCUACCUGACUU